UUUUUCUUUUUUUUUUUUCUUUUAAGAUUGCCCCCUCAACAUAUGAAAAUCCCAGACUAGGGGGUCAAAUGGGAGCUGCAUCUGCCAGCCUACACCACAGCCACAACAAUGCAGGAUCCAAGCGAGCCUCAUCUGGGACCUACACUGCAGCGUAUGGCAACAUGAGAUCCUUAACCCACUGAACUGGGCCAGGGAUCAAUCUGCGUCCUCAUGGAUACUAGUCGGGUUAGUUACCACUGAGCCACAAUGGGACUUGCCCUCUGCUUUUCUUGAGAGUCUAAUGAUGUACACGUGAGAGGGUAUGAGGAGACAGAGGCUGUCACACUAAUAAAACAUGUGCAUGAAAAUGUACUCUAGAUGUAUACAACAUGUCUAUUGUACAUAUAUUCAUAUCACAUGGACAAUCACUCCUCUCUCUGUUUCCUACUCGGCUAAAUCUGAUAUGUAUCUACCUUUUCCACACAUGGUUAGUGAAAUCAACAGACCUAUGUCUAUGUGAGCUGUCCCUCAGUUAACCCCUUUAAUGAUGGAAAAACUAAUUUAAAAAGUCAUGUGUAAUUUGGGUUAUGGUAAACAGAAUUUCAAUGGAAAUGUCAGUUAUCAAUGCUCCAAUCAAAUGUUUCUUGUUCUCAAUGAAGAGACCCCUGUCUAUUCCUACAAGAUAAAGAUGUCCUGAUGAUUCUGGAGAAAUAGCAAAGGACAUAAGUAUUGCUCUGUAUUAGAGUGCCUCUCUUACAGAAAGAGUUUUCGCCUUAAGACAGGUACUUAUGGAGUUCCCUUUGUGGCACGGUGGUUAACAUACCCAACUAGUAUCCAUGAGGAUGAUGGUUCAAUCCCUGGCCCCGCUCAGUGGGUUAAGCAUCCAGUGUUGGCUUAAACUGGGGUUGUAGGUUGCAGCUCGGAUCUGGUGUUGCUGUGGAUGUGCCAUAGGCUGAAACCGGCAUUUCUGAUUUGACCCCUAUGGGAACUUCCAUAUGCUGCGGGUGCGGCCCUAAAAAGCCAAAAACAAAAAAAAAACCAAAAAAAAAAAAAAACCCAAAACAAAACAGGGAUUUACAGUUUGUCACAUAGUCAAGGACACAUUGCACACCCUCUAGAAAUCUUAAAUGAAUGUUUGGUGGACCGAUGGAAGCUCAUGCCUAUUCUUGAAUCUUGUAGGAACCCUCUUCCUCCACCAAAUAAUUUUUGAAUGAAUGAAUUUUGUUAAUACUUUCAUUGGCACCAUGUUAAAAGAUAAAUACAACUUUGCAAGUCUUGAUGCUGCUUGAAGUGUAUGUGUGAAGGCACAGUGGAAAUUUGGGACCAAUGAUACCCCAAAUCUUGUCUGGAAAUAAGCAUGUAAACAUGCCCUUUCUGCUUUUAGAAGAGCCUCUAGAGGUUUAGUCUCAGGCACAUAAAAUAGCAAGCAUGGUAACCCCUUCUCUGUGGGCUUUACUUAUUCCAGACAUUUCCCAUUGCAAAUGACACUGACAUACCCGCUCUGUUUGUGAUGAGAUUUAUUUCUUCAUGCUUGGCAAUUACGAAUAACCUUUGAAGGAAAAGGAAAACAGUUCUAGCUUGGCAAGUCUUGUGUACUGUUUCAGAAAUUUUCUCUAAGUUCUAAGAACAAGUAAAUAUCACUUAAUGCCUACAGGUUUAAAAUUCUCUGCCCCCCAAAAUCAGUGAUUAAAGGAGUUUUCUCUUGUUUUCAUAUCCCAGGUUGUUUGAUAAGGUACUUCUUUAGGAGACUGGGGGAAUGGGUGACCUCAAAUUGCCUUAACUUCUUAGGUCCUUGAGAAUUCUCCGUGCUUCAAACGUUAUUUUCAUUUCCUGCAAGAGCAGGUCACAGCCGUGGCUGGGAUCCUGUGUUGCUGUUACUGUUAUGUAGGCUGACAAGAGGGAAUUUCUCAUCUGCAAUUUUAAAAAAAAUUGAUCAAAUCAUUUUGACAAAAAAGCAAACCAUCCUUCUUGUGUGACUAAGGCCCAUAGUGAUACUUUAGGCCACUGGGAAAUUGAAACAUGCAAUUCAGAAAGAGACUACAAUGCCAAAACGAUUGUUCCAGGCACUCUGAGUUAUUAGACUAAAGGGCAUUGUUGGAAAACAUAUUUCAUUGUUAUUUUAAAUACACUCAUUUUUAAAAUAAUUCAGAAUGGGUGCACAGAACAACAGAUUUUUUUUUUCAAGUUCAACAUUGGAAAAGACAUAUUUAACAGAUAAGGUAAAGAAAAAAUAUCUGAUAUGCCAAAAACACAAAUAUUUUUAUAAAAUUGACAGAGUAACAAAAUAAAGACCCAUAAUAGAAGUAUAUCCAUCAAAUAUAAAAUAUAGAGAGAAAUUCAUUCCACUGACUUUCCAAUUUUGUUCUUUAUCAGGCUUAUCCUCAGGCUUACUCUGGUACAAUACAAUAUGUAUUUCUCAGAUGCUCCUAGACUGCCUGUAGUUAAGACUACAAAGAGGUAAAUCAGAAGCUGUAAAAAUGUAUUGUAUUGAUACAAAAGGAGAGAUCUCAGUUUUUUCAGCUCCAAAUAGAAAGAACAUAAGGUGCUUAAAUCCUGGUGGAAGAUAGAUAUUUAGGUGACUGACACUGUCAGUUUCAAAUUAUUAGACCUGAAGCCAGCUUACAUUUGAACUUUGUGCUUGUCACAAGGGUUGGAAUAACAGACGCGACAUAGUCUGUGGUCUGUCAACCAAUAUACUAUGAUUUAGAAAAUGACAAGAGAGAAUAAUGAUCUGUUAACAAAAGUCAUAUUGCCACAUACACAGGGAAAUUUGUGCAAGAACAAUGCAUUUACUAUACUUUUCUAUAUUUGCAUAAGCAACUGAUUCUUCAUUUUUUUCUGCCUCUCUGGGUGCCUUCCCUCAAACAUCUUAAAUAUUAUAUCACUCAAGUGUGACAAUUUAAAAACUUAAACUUUUGCAGUUAGCUUAUGAAAAUUAUAAAAAACAUGUACUGUAGGUUGUUCUGAGUGUUUUAACCUACCUUAAUAAAAUAUAAAUUUGAAAAUAUUACUAAAGAAAAAAUAGUUGCAUAUACUGGCAAAAUUAGUUUUUGCUCAUCUUCAUAAUGUUUGACAGGUGCAUGUAUAUGUGUUUACGUGCCUGUGUGUGUGUGUGUGUGUGUGUGUGUGAAAGAGGGACAGAGAGAUAUGUACCAAGAGCUCCAUGUCUUAAUGGUUUAUAGCAUAAUAUGUUACAUUCAAGGAAUUGCAACAAACAAGCAUAUCACUAAAGAAGUGUCUGAUAUUACUUACUAUAGUAGUAUUAAUAUAAGUGGACUUACCAUCGUGGCUCAGUGGAAAUUAAUCUGACUAGCAUCCGUGUGGAUGCAGGUUCAAUCCCUGCCCUUACUCAGUGGGUUGGAGAUCCUGUGUUGCCAUGAGCUGUGGUGUAGGUCACAGCCGUGGCUGGGAUCCCGUGUUCCUGUUAGUGUUGUGUAGGCAGGCAGCUACAGCUCCAAUUUGAGCCCUAGCCUGAGAACCUCCAUAUGCUGUGGGCGUGGCCCUAAAAAAAAUAGACCAAAAAUAACAAUGUCUUUAAUCAGUGAGUUAUUUCCAUAAAUAUUAUUCAUCUUUAUAUAUUUGCAAAUAUAUACAAGUAAAUAAGUCAAUACUGAAUAUGGGAAAAAUUAAAGUGUGUCAGGCCAGGCUUAUUGAUCACUUGUUUCCAUGUACGUGCAUUCACCCAUGUCAUUCUCAUGUUAGAAUAAAGAGCAUGGGUUGUGCAGCCAGACUACUGAGUUGAAAUAGGGACUAUGCCUUGUAUUAGCAAUGUGGGGAGAAUGAUCAGAUCUCUCUGUGCCACAGUUUUCUCAUCUGCAAAAUGCAGUUAAUAACCAUGUCUAUUUCACUGGGUUAUUGUGAGCGUUAAAUGAGUCAAUAAUGAAAACUGCUUAGAAGAUUGGUUGUGUCACCUAUGACAAUGACUACAAUAAUAAUAAUUGUAUAUAAAAUACUCUAUUCAUUUUAGGGAUUAUUAUUAUCAUCGAUUUUGAGUUUAAAAGUUAUACUGAUCAAUUUUUUUGAAGUCCUAUUAAAUAUCUAUGAUCAAUGUGGCUCCUUGUUGUUGGCUUUCCCCCUGAAAAAGAUUAUCUACCACCCUGGCCCUAUUACCAUCUCUAAUCUGAUCACUUUCAGAUCAUCAUAUCCAACUAAGAAUGGGACUGAAUUACAGAUAGAAAUAGAAGUAGGUAGAUAGGUGGAUAGACGGAUAGAUAGAUAUGAUAGAGAUAGAAAGAUAGAUGGUAGAGAGAUAGAAAGAAAAUGAUGGAUGAAUAGACUGUUUGGAAGUAAUUUAAAGCUAAUGUGUUCAAAACCCAGUUCCUCUCUUUCUCCGCGCACAAUGUGUUCCUCCAGAUUCCCUUCAUGGGUUAAUGGCACCACACUUUUGCCCAGACCUGGGACUCAGCCAAUUGCUUUGCCCUCUUCCCUCUCUCUAGGUCCAGGUCCCUUCCUGGGCCCUCAUGAUUCCACCUCCUAAAGAAUUUUCAGUUCUCUCCCUUCCCUCCAUCUGCACUCAUGUUUCCAUGACUCACAGGGGGGGUUGUCUCCCACCUGUCCUGCUAAAAAGACUUUUCGAUAUUCUCCCUACAUUCUCCAGCUUGAAAACCAUUCACUGAUCUACAUUUUCUUUGACAUAGUAAAACUAUUCACACACAAACAAUUAUGUGCACCUUUUAAAUUACUUUACAUAUCUCAUUAAUUAUCAGGGGAAAAAGUUGUAUGACGAAUUUCCAGUUAUAAAGUAAUCAAAACGUGGGGGUGUUAUGUACAGCACGCUGAUGAUGUUAAAUCACACCAUGACAUGUUGGAAAGUUGCCAAAAGAGUAAAUUUUAAAGGUUCUUUCACAAGGAAAAGAAG
rnacentral:lncRNA from 1 species